rnacentral:rRNA from 1 species
CCCUGUUUAACGGCCGCGGUAUUUUGACCGUGCAAAGGUAGCGCAAUCACUUGUCUUUUAAAUGAAGACCCGUAUGAAUGGCAUGACGAGGGCUAAUCUGUCUCCUCUCCUCAGUCAAUGAAAUUGAUCUUCCCGUGCAGAAGCGGGGCUAGCGGCAUUAGACGAGAAGACCCUAUGGAGCUUCAGGUAGUAACGAGCCUAAACUGUCUUACCAUCUAGGAAAGAACGUGCUCACCCCUCUUUACUUGCCUUUGG